rnacentral:rRNA from 1 species
GUCCAGACUCCUACGGGAGGCAGCAGUGGGGAAUAUUGCACAAUGGGCGAAAGCCUGAUGCAGCAACGCCGCGUGAGUGAUGAAGGCCUUCGGGUCGUAAAACUCUGUUCUCAAGGAAGAUAAUGACGGUACUUGAGGAGGAAGCCCCGGCUAACUCCGUGCCAGCAGCCGCGGUAAUACGGAGGAUGCGAGCGUUAUCCGGAUUUAUUGGGUUUAAAGGGUGCGUAGGCGGACUGUUAAGUCAGCGGUAAAAGCCCGGGGCCCAACCCCGGCGAGCCGUUGAAACUGGCUGUCUUGAGAUGUCGAGAGGUAUGCGGAAUGCGCAGUGUAGCGGUGAAAUGCUUAGAUAUUGCGCAGAACUCCGAUUGCGAAGGCAGCAUACCGGCGGCGAUCUGACGCUGAGGCACGAAAGCGUGGGUAUCGAACAGGAUUAGAUACCCUUGUA